UUUUUUUGGAAAAAAGAAUCCUUUUGCUUUUCUUCUAUGUAACGUGUAGUAUAAUAACCAGUCUUUUUCCAGCAAACAUCCAGCUGCCGUUUCUUCAUGGUCUCCCCAUGUUACUCAAGCUUUCUCUUCCUUCUCUGAUCUCUAUCCAUCCCUAAAUAUACUAAGCGAGUUUAUUUUUUUGGUUUUGUUUUUAUGUAAUUCAUUUGGUGAAACUAAGUACAGAGUCACCGACAUUGACAAAUCUAAGCAAAUCUAAGUCCUUUCUCUCUCCCAGUAUCUUUGCAACAUAUAUAGCUUCUGGCAGCAAAAAGCAGCGUGCCCAGAUCAAAUUGAAGUGUAAAGAAGCUAGCUUUGGAGCAUUUUGGAAGAUGGGGUCUUGAGUUUACAAAGGUACUAUUGUUUUUGUACUGUCUUCAUUCUUUUCGCAUACUAGCAAAGAAGUUCCAAAAUUGUUAGAUUUUAGCGUGCUUUUAUUGGUAAAAUGAGGGACUUUCCUUCUUGUUUUGGUGAAAGUGGCGUUCAAGUAGCUGAUUCAUCAAGUACAACAAAAGCUGCUCAAAAUUUGGUCGCUUGUGUCUAUCAAUGUAAAUUACAUGGCCGUUCUUGUUUAAUUACUGUUACUUGGACCAAGAAUCUCAUGGGUCAAGGUGUUGGUGUUGCAAUUGAUGAUUCAACAAGUCAGUGUCUUUGUAAGGUUGAUAUAAAGCCAUGGUUGUUCUCUAAAAGAAAAGGGUACAGGAAUUUAGAGGUAGCUUCUGAUAAGGUUAUUAUAUAUUGGGACUUGUCCAAUGCUAAAUUUGGUUCUGGGCCAGAACCUUUGGAGGGUUUCUAUUUGGCCAUUACUUUUAAUCAAGAAAUGGUGUUACUUCUUGGGGACAUGGCGAAGGAAGCGUACAAGAAAAUUGAAAGUGAUCCAGUGCACAUUAAUGCCAUUUUUAUUGCUAGAAGAGAGCAUAUUUUUGGGAAGAAGUUUUACGGUGCAAAAGCUCAGUUCUGUGACAAGGGUCAGAUGCAUGAUGUUACUAUUGAAUGUGAUACAAUUGAUCUUAAGGAUCCCUGUCUUGUGAUCCGCAUUGACAGUAAGAUGGUAAUGCAGGUUAAAAGACUGAAAUGGAAGUUCCGCGGCAAUUAUACUAUAUUGGUGGAUGGCCUCCCAGUUGAAGUGUUUUGGGAUGUUCAUAAUUGGCUUUUUGGAAAUUCUAUGGGUAACGCAGUUUUCAUGUUCCAAACUUGCUUACCGGCAGAGAAAUUAUGGAAAAGCCAAUCCACUCUUGAUCCCUCUGUACUGACCUGGUCGUGCUUGCAGAAAUUCAGAGACUGCCAAUUACAAGGUCUUGGUUUCUCCCUUACAUUGUAUGCUUGGAAGAAUGAUUAAUUUUUUUCCCACUGUCCGAGUCGUGAUAGAUAGGUUCUGCAAUGUUUUUCAAGAAUGUUGUGAUAUAGAUACAAUUGUUUGCAUUUGGAAGUUCCUUUUUUCCCUCUCCCCUCUUCAGCUAACUAGUAUUUUAUGAUCACACUAACCAGUUUCUCUUAAUCAUUUGCUUUUAGGGAUUUAGCCCAAGCAGUGAUGUUUUAGAUUUUGUGUUAUAAACUAUCCAUGGGUGCUACCAACAUGAUAUCUUUGUGGAGCACUGCAGUAAGAUUGUCCUUUGUGUACUCUCACGACAGCUUUUAAUAUUUGCGAGAACCAUAACUUUUGUUGUAAAGAGAUGAGAUGCAAGCUAACCUGUUCUAAUUCCUAGAUUGCAGCAGACUAGCUGUGUCAAACCAAUUUCAUAUGGUUCUGACAAGGAGAUGGCAGGCACUCCAUAUACAGUGAGUUAGUAUGUUACAGGCUUUUAAGACUCUGAACCUCACCCUUUUAUCUUGUAGAUCACAAAUUUGAGAUCAAAAUGUGGUUGAAAGAUGCAGGAUAGGUGAAUUUGAUGUAAAAGAAAAGGGCGAGAUUGAGAAUCUUAAAAACCAUGUUCUAAGUUACUGUAUAUGGAGCAAUGAACUAGUAGUGUGUCUACACAGUUGCCCUUCUGUGUGAAUGAUCACUGUUCAACAAUGAUGAUGCCGCUCCCAAUUCUCAAAUGCGAUACAGCACUAGUUGCCCUUCCAUAUGUGUGUCAUGUACUUGUUUUUCUGUCAUAAAUGGAAACCCUCGCAGCUUUCUAGCUUUUUGAUUA